rnacentral:rRNA from 1 species
AUGAACGCUGGCGGCGUGCUUAACACAUGCACGUCGAACGCCGAAGCCCAGCUUGCUGGGUGGAUUAGUGGCGAACGGGUGAGUAACACGUGAGUAACCUGCCCUUGACUCUGGGAUAAGCCUGGGAAACUGGGUCUAAUACUGGAUAUGACUUCUCAUCGCAUGGUGGGGGGUGGAAAGAUUUAUUGGUCUUGGAUGGACUCGCGGCCUAUCAGCUUGUUGGUGAGGUAAUGGCUCACCAAGGCGACGACGGGUAGCCGGCCUGAGAGGGUGACCGGCCACACUGGGACUGAGACACGGCCCAGACUCCUACGGGAGGCAGCAGUGGGGAAUAUUGCACAAUGGGCGCAAGCCUGAUGCAGCGACGCCGCGUGAGGGAUGACGGCCUUCGGGUUGUAAACCUCUUUCAGUAGGGAAGAAGCGAGAGUGACGGUACCUGCAGAAGAAGCGCCGGCUAACUACGUG